AAUAAGUUAAAAUCCAAAUUACAAAAUACAAACCAUUGCCUUCAAAGGGCUUAACAAAAAAACAACAAAUAACAUUAUCAUAAAACACUCCAAGCCACAAAAAAUAAAUCUUCAUGUGCACAUCAUCUCAAUAAAAAAGCACUUCAAGAGCAUUGCACUUUGAUUCCUGAAAUUCAUAAUCUAGAAUUAUAACAUAAUAAAUUAAAUCAGAAGAUAUAAAAAUUAAAAAAUAUAUUUAUACCAUACGUUUUCAAUACAUGCAUCACAAAUUCACAAUUUGUGAACUAAUUAUCAUCCGUUGCUAAAUGCAACUUUCCAC
rnacentral:lncRNA from 1 species